ACAAACUUGGUCAUUUAGAGGAAGUAAAAGUCGUAACAAGGUAACCGUAGGUGAACCUGCGGUUGGAUCAUUAACAAAUUCAACAUGGGCCGCUCUAGGAUUUAUCCUUUUGCGGCACUUGAACAAUUUUGUGGACUGUUAUUUAAAUAAUUUUGGGUAUGGUUUGAUGAGUGCUUAUUGGCUUUCUAAGACAAAAAGAACUUUGAACGAAGGUGGGAGUUUUUUUUGAACUCCUUGCCUGCCCAGUUUAAUAUUAGACCUUUAGUAGAAAAACUUGUCUUUAUAUAAAUUGAUUUUUUUUCUGAAAAUGAAAAUAAAACAACUUUUGACAACGGAUCUCUAGGCUCUCGCAUCGAUGAAGAACGCAGC
rnacentral:misc_RNA from 1 species